GUAUUAAUGGUGGACCAUCAGAUCAAUGUAAAGAUGCCAAGUCAACAUGUGUACUGGUAACUGGUAACUACAAAUGUGCAUGUAACAGUGGAUAUUACAACAAUGGAGGAAUUUGUACUAACAAGAUAAAUGUUGAUGCAGCAUGUACUAAUGGUGGACCAUCAGAUCAAUGUAAAGAUUCCAAGUCAACAUGUGUACUGGUUACUGGUAACUACAAAUGUGCAUGUAACAGCGGAUAUUACAACAAGGAUGGAACUUGUACUAACAAGAUAGAUGUUGAUGCUUCAUGUAUUAAUGGUGGACCAUCAGAUCAAUGUAAAGAUGCCAAGUCAAUAUGUGUACUGGUAACUGGUAACUACAAAUGUGCAUGUAACAGUGGAUAUUACAACAAUGGAGGAACUUGUACUAACAAGAUAGAUGUUGAUGCUUCAUGUAUUAAUGGUAGACCAUCAGAUCAAUGUAAAGAUGCCAAGUCAACAUGUGUACUGGUAACUGGUAACUACAAAUGUGCAUGUAACAGUGGAUAUUACAACAAUAUAGGCACUUGUA